GAAUGCAUCCUUGAGGAGAUGAGAAGUGCAGGAGGCGCCCAUUUAUAGGGUGAUGGACGUUGUGACUCUCCUGGAUUUAGCGCAAAGUAUGGCACAUACAGCUUUUACUCCAACACCCUGAACAAGAUUGUGCACACAGAGCAAGUUCAAGUUGGUGAGAAUGACGCAGUGCAGGCAAGCUCGCACAUGGAGAAGGUUGGCUUCAUGAGAGGCUUCAACUACCUGCAAGAAAACAACAUAAAUGUGUUACCGUUCACCACAGAUCGGCAUGUGUCAAUCAAGAAAGAGAUGGCAACUAAUCAUCCCGAUGUCCAACCACUACUUUGAUGUGUGGCACUUUGCAAAAGGUACAGAAGAAAGUCCUUCCUGUUCACGGGUCCGUCACGUUGCGGGCGCAGUCGAGCUCCCGCCAAAGUCUGGACACACAAAAUG